rnacentral:rRNA from 1 species
UACGUAGGGUGCGAGCGUUGUCCGGAAUUAUUGGGCGUAAAGAGCUCGUAGGCGGUGUGUCGCGUCGGCCGUGAAAACCUGCAGCUUAACCGUGGGCUUGCGGUCGAUACGGGCAUCACUGGAGUUCGGCAGGGGAGACUGGAAUUCCUGGUGUAGCGGUGAAAUGCGCAGAUAUCAGGAGGAACACCGGUGGCGAAGGCGGGUCUCUGGGCCGAUACUGACGCUGAGGAGCGAAAGCGUGGGGAGCGAACAGG